rnacentral:rRNA from 1 species
UACGGGGGGAGCAAGCGUUGUUCGGAUUUACUGGGCGUAAAGGGCGCGUAGGCGGCCACCGCAAGUCGGUUGUGAAAUCUCUGGGCUUAACCCAGAAAGGUCAACCGAUACUGCGGGGCUAGAGUGCAGAAGGGGCAACUGGAAUUCUCGGUGUAGCGGUGAAAUGCGUAGAUAUCGAGAGGAACACCUGCGGCGAAGGCGGGUUGCUGGGCUGACACUGACGCUGAUGCGCGAAAGCGUGGGGAGCAAACAGG